rnacentral:rRNA from 1 species
AAAGGAAUUGACGGGGGCCCGCACAAGCAGUGGAGUAUGUGGUUUAAUUCGAAGCAACGCGAAGAACCUUACCAGGGCUUGACAUCCCUCGAAUAAUGUAGAGAUACAUUAGUCCUACGGGACGAGGAGACAGGUGGUGCAUGGUUGUCGUCAGCUCGUGUCGUGAGAUGUUGGGUUAAGUCCCGCAACGAGCGCAACCCCUGUUGUUAGUUGCCAUCAAGUAAAGUUGGGCACUCUAACGAGACUGCCGGUGACAAAUCGGAGGAAGGUGGGGACGACGUCAAAUCAUCAUGCCCCUUAUGUCCUGGGCUACACACGUACUACAAUGGCUGCAACAGAAGGAAGCGAAGGAGCAAUCUGGAGCGAAUCCUAAAAAAGCAGUCUCAGUUCGGAUUGUGGGCUGCAACUCGCCCGCAUGAAGCAGGAAUUGCUAGUAAUGGCAGGUCAGCAUACUGCCGUGAAUACGUUCCCGGGCCUUGUACACACCGCCCGU